ACAAAACUAGAGGAUGAGUGAUCAAUAAAUGAUUGCCACGUAGCAUUGAGUAUUUUACACUCAUCUGUGCAUGUUUAUUGAUUUAGUGCAAUACACCCAUAAUAGCCAAGUAUUUUCCAACCAUUUCUGCAUGCCUCACUAAUGAUCUUAAGUACUGUCCAACUAUUUAUUGCAUAUCAAAAUAUACAGAUCAAAUGAUUAGGGAUGGCAGGCGUUUAAGCAUCAUAGAUACAAACAAGACUAUCCUCUUCCAGACCAGCCAAAACUAAGGCCCCUCA
rnacentral:misc_RNA from 1 species